rnacentral:rRNA from 1 species
GACGAAGGAUGCAAGCGUUAUCCGGAUUCAUUGGGUUUAAAGGGAGCGUAGGCGGCUUGGUAAGUCAGUGGUGAAAUCUGUGGGCUUAACCCACAAACUGCCAUUGAUACUGCUGAUCUAGAGUACAGUUGCCGUUGGCGGAAUAUGACAUGUAGUGGUGAAAUACUUAGAUAUGUCAUAGAACACCGAUUGCGAAGGCAGCUAACGAAGCUGUAACUGACGCUGAGGCGCGAAAGUGCGGGGAGCAAACAGG